rnacentral:misc_RNA from 1 species
GAUUGCUAUUUCCUCCAACAGAAUGUCAAUAAUCAAUUAGAUAUUUUCAAUUCCAAUCCACACAAUAUUAAUAAAUCUGUUCUUGUAGAGAAAACAAACUAUCACAUUUUCUCAGAAAUACGGUGAUCAAGUUAUAAAAUUCUCAUCCUGAAGGUCAAAGGUUAGGCAAUGGCCGAUGCGCAGAUGCUCAAGAUGUGACAAGAGCAAGGCCAUAGUGGAUUGAUAAUUAUGAAUUCCUUCCUUUUAUUAACGACGUUCUGCUGGACGUAGACCAUCAUGGCACCAUUGCACUGACAUGGUUUAAAAUGCGAAAGCCUGUACUGCGUGUAAAUAAAUAGACUCAGUUGAUAUAGCGCAAGGAGGAACUGCCUGUUGAUCCUCUGUACCUCACUGAUGUGUGUCCCUGGAGUGAGUGAUCCCUGUGGCGGAGUUGCCGCCGCCACCGCUGCUGCUGACCCCCCGAGUCGCCGCCGCCAAUGCAGGGCGUGGAUCUCCUGGUGGGCGUGGCUCUGAUGGAGGAGGACAGACCGGUGCUACCCGGCGUCAACAUCCGCGCCGCAACGCCGGAACGUCUCAUCCAGCUCUGCGUAGAAGUCUUCUGUGAGGCGGGCCCGUGCGAGCGGCAGGAGGAGUACGCUCGGGUCUUCUACCUCAUGCACCAAUGGUUCAUGAAGUCUGAAGAUCUUGCUCAGGCUUUCAUAGAUCUUUACCAGGGUUGCGAUGAAACGAUCUCGUGUGACGUGGCAGCCUGUCCCCACCUUCCCACAGUCCAACAGUGUCCCAUACAGCAAUACAAGGCCAAAAUAUGUCAGGCUGUCAGAUAUUGGAUCCGGCACUUCCCUGUUCAUUUUGAUCUAGACGCACGAUUGGUCAAAGCUGUUGAACAGCUUGGAUGUCUCCUCCAAUCAGAAGGCAAUGUUCAGCUCAAGGAACUCAUUGAUUUGUCCAAAGUACCCUCUUACGACUGGAUGAGGAACAUGUCUGUUCGUCAGCCAUCCCGAAAACAUUCGCGGAAAGUGUCUCUUGUCUUCAAUCAUUUAGAGCCAGAUGAGUUAGCAGAACAGCUGACGUAUCUUGAAUUUAAGGCAUUUAGGAGAAUUCAUUUUUCAGAUUUCAAGAACUAUGCAGUGACAGCAUCUCUGAAGGAGAACCUCAAGUUGGAGCGAUCAAUAGCGUUAUUCAACGGCCUUUCUCAGUGGGUCCAGUGUAUGGUUCUCAGUAAAACAACACCUCAACAGAGAGCUGAUGUCAUUAUUAAAUUUGUCAAUGUGGCCAAGAGACUGCGGGUACUACAGAACUUCAACACACUGAUGGCUAUUGUUGGAGGGCUUACACACAGCGCACUGGCCAGACUCUCCAAAACUAAUGCAUGUCUGCCCUCAGAAACUCACAAGAUUUUAAUAGAGUACACAGAACUGCUGUCUUCAAAUAACAACUUCAGUAAUUACAGGAAAAUAUAUCACCAAGCAACAGGCUUUAAAAUACCAAUCCUGGGUGUUCACUUGAAGGAUCUCAUCUCUCUGCACACGGCCCUCCCAGACAAGGUGGAAGGUAACCUGGUCAACUUCCGCAAGAUGGCUCAACUGUCCCUCAUCCUCACCGAGCUCACGCGCCUACAACGACAAGACAGCGACCCUGUUGAUGCCAAUAUGGACUUAGUCAAUACUUUGAGAUUGUCCCUGGACCUCCAUUACACAGAGGAUGAGAUUUACGAGCUGUCUCUGGCUCGGGAACCCAGAGGAUCCGUGUCAUCUCCUACAACACCCACAAAGCCAGUAGUGUUUGCUGACUGGGUCGCCGGAGUUAAGCCCCCUGAUCCCAGCACCAUCAACAAACAUGUCCACGACAUGGUGGAGGCUGUGUACAAAAACUAUGACCAUGACCGAGAUGGGUUUAUUUCUCACGCUGAAUUUGAGGCCAUCGCUGGCAACUUCCCCUUCAUUGAUUCCUUCUGUGUGCUGGACGCCGAUCAAGAUGGAAUGAUAAGCAAAGAGGAAAUGAAAACAUACUUCAUCCGAGCCAAUUGCCAUGCUGUGCGCAGUAGUUUCAAACACGCCUUCCACGAAACCACAUACUUCAAACCUACCUUCUGCAUCCACUGUACAGGGCUGCUAUGGGGCUUGAUCAAGCAGGGCUGGAAAUGUAAAGACUGUGCAAUCAAUGCCCACAAGCACUGCAAGGAUUUGGUGGUGAUGGAGUGUCGGAGCAAGGGACAUAGGAGGACAGAGUCCAUGUCUAACGGUGUCGGGCCACAUGACUUGACCUUAUCGGCAAAACGGAAAAUCUCCCAGCGUCACCGCAGAGCUCAAAACCUUAGCGCUAACCCCUCCCCACAACCUGAAAUCCGAGUGCUACGUGAAGGUCGUCAGAGGUCCCACAGCGAGAGCCAGGAUGGAGAGUUCUAUGAGGGGAAGCCACUGAUCUACGAGAGACUGAUCAAAGCAGAAGAGAGCGGUUCAGAUUCCGAAGAGGAGGUGCACAGCAGGAACUGUUUAUGUGUAUUAUGUGAUGGCCUCCUGUUCUAGCGAGAACCUAUGUACCUGACUACAAUACCUACUUCCACUGUAGAUUAGAAUGCACGCAGGCGCGGGAACAGCUGAUGGACGAGAACCUACGUUUGAGGGCACGUCUAGAAACUGCAAACGAGCAAAUUCUCACACUGAAAGCCCAUAUUGGUGUUAUUCGGCAAAAUACCAUCU